CCUUCCUCCGCGCUUCCUAGGCGGGAGCCCCGCCUCCUAGGGGCGUCCAACGAACUGCCAGGUUCCAGGACGAGAAUUGACACUGACGGGACCAAUCAGGAGCCGACGGCUCCGGGCGCGUAGGACUCCGGGCGCGGGUUGUGGUGCAUUCCCUGAACCCGGGAGAGGCACGGAAGGAGUAGACUGGGAAGGUCCGCGGCUCUGACACUCCGCCCUGCGAGCUGUUUUCCCUAAGUCCUGCCCUACCAGAAGAACAGACAUUAAGUACCAUAUAUGGGAAAAGUGGUAUUUUUCAUAAUUAUGAUGGCUGUGGGGGCGGGCAUUGCCUCAGCCCUGGAUUCGGGGGUGUGCGUCCUGAGUUCGGUUCUGGCCACUGUCUUCUGCUAGAGCCCGCACGCGGCGGUCUCCGGGCCUCCGAACCUUCCCUCUGGCUGUCCACGCUGCCUUGGAAUGCCCCCUAGGCUCCUCUGCAUCUCCACGAGAUCACCUCCUACCGGUCCUUUCAGAUACUUGUUACAAAAAAGGUUGCCUUGGUUUGAUUUUGUUUUGUUUUAGGUAGAUAAAUUGCACUUACUUAUUUUUGUUACUGUUCUC
rnacentral:lncRNA from 1 species